AAAAUAAAAAGACAUUAAAAAAAAAAGUUCACCUCUCUUCAGUUACAAAAAAAAAAAAAAUCUUCAAUGUAUAAUUUAAAAAUUGAAAACAUUUCUCUAACUUUCCCAGUUAGUGAUAAUGAAAUCCCGGGUCUGGGAUUACCCGCACCAGCAAAUGGUCUUGGCUGUAGCACAACCCAGUCACCCUGCCCUGCAACGUAGGGUUGUAUUAAUCAUGUUUGUUACUUUCUGUAUAUUAUGAUUUGACAUCUUAAAACCCUGACCGGCUGGGAGAUACUGCCCCCUCCCUACCCAAUUCUGAAAGACCGCAAAGGACUCAGACAGGAGCAUGCCUGCCGUGUGCAAGCUAACCACCCAGAGCUAGACCUCUGCUAGCUGGCCUGCACAGCCCAGAUGGAAUCAUUCCAGGCCCAGGUGCCAGAAACACCACAGAGGCUCUGGCUUUGCCCUGCGCGUUAGCUCCCUGAUGAGAACUUGGCCUUCCUCUGCGGCCCUGCGAGGCGAGCCCUGCCUCUCGUUUCCAGGGGGAGACCGGGAGUGGUGGUAAACGUUUCCAUCGAUGGCAUCGGCCCCUUUGCGUCCUCGCUCAGUCACCUCUCCAGAUCAAGCCCUGGGCACAGAGUAUGGCUGCAAUCCGUCUUUUGAGUCCACACCUGUCGCUGUCCGAGUUCUAACCUCCAAAGUUGCUCGAGACCAAGAGGGGGCCCCCCACUUUGCCUGAUGGUUGAUGGGACACCAUACCUAUUAGUCCAUGUGCUUUAGGUGAAAACUUGUUUGUGGGGGGAAUGUAGAUCCCCAGAAAGUCUACGUUGAUCGGAUGCUUCUUCCAAACCCGAUGG